rnacentral:rRNA from 1 species
GGCCGCGGGAAUUCCUUUCAGGCCUAACACAUGCAAGUCGAGCGGUAGAGAGAACCUUGCUUCUCUUGAGAGCGGCGGACGGGUGAGUAAUGCCUAGGAAUCUGCCUGGUAGUGGGGGAUAACGUUCGGAAACGGACGCUAAUACCGCAUACGUCCUACGGGAGAAAGCAGGGGACCUUCGGGCCUUGCGCUAUCAGAUGAGCCUAGGUCGGAUUAGCUAGUUGGUGAGGUAAUGGCUCACCAAGGCAACGAUCCGUAACUGGUCUGAGAGGAUGAUCAGUCACACUGGAACUGAGACACGGUCCAGACUCCUACGGGAGGCAGCAGUGGGGAAUAUUGGACAAUGGGCGAAAGCCUGAUCCAGCCAUGCCGCGUGUGUGAAGAAGGUCUUCGGAUUGUAAAGCACUUUAAGUUGGGAGGAAGGGCAGUUACCUAAUACGUGAUUGUUUUGACGUUACCGACAGAAUAAGCACCGGCUAACUCUGUGCCAGCAGCCGCGGUAAUACAGAGGGUGCAAGCGUUAAUCGGAAUUACUGGGCGUAAAGCGCGCGUAGGUGGUUAGUUAAGUUGGAUGUGAAAUCCCCGGGCUCAACCUGGGAACUGCAUUCAAAACUGACUGACUAGAGUAUGGUAGAGGGUGGUGGAAUUUCCUGUGUAGCGGUGAAAUGCGUAGAUAUAGGAAGGAACACCAGUGGCGAAGGCGACCACCUGGACUGAUACUGACACUGAGGUGCGAAAGCGUGGGGAGCAAACAGGAUUAGAUACCCUGGUAGUCCAUGCUGUAAACGAUGAGUGCUAAGUGUUGGGAGGUUUCCGCCUCU